rnacentral:tRNA from 3 species
GUGCAGCGGUAGUUCAGUUGGUUAGAAUACCGGCCUGUCACGCCGGGGGUCGCGGGUUCGAGCC